GACGAACGCUGGCGGCGUGCUUAACACAUGCAAGUCGAGCGGCGCGGCGAACGGGUGAGUAACGCGUUAGUAACUGCCCCCCUCUCUGGGAUAACAGUUGGAAACGGCUGCUAAUACCGGAUAGUGGGGGAUGACUCGCGUCCUAUAAGCUUGUUGGUGGGGUAGGGGCCUACCAAGGCGACGACGGGUAGCCGGCCUGAGAGCGGGACCGGCCACAUUGGGCUGAGAUACGGCCCAAACUGCUACGGGAGGCAGCAGGGGGGAGUAUUGUACAAUGGGGGAAGCCCUGAGGCAGCAACGCGCGUGCGGGAUGUCGGCCCUCCGGUGGUAAACGUCUUUCAGCCAUUACGCGGUAGUGGCAGAAGAAGCACCGGCUAACUACGUGCCAGCAGCCGCGGUAAUUC
rnacentral:rRNA from 1 species